GCCGGGGUAGCUAAGUGGCCAAUCUCUACAGAGCCCUUUUCGGAGGACUCUAUGAGGGUUAGAAGCGGCAGACUCAAGAUCUGCUCCCUUAGGGGUUCGCAAGUUCAAAUCUUGUCCCCGGCA
rnacentral:tRNA from 1 species